GACGAACGCUGGCGGCGUGCUUAACACAUGCAAGUCGAACGGUGAGGCGCCUUCCUUGUUGGUGUGUGUGGAGGGGUGGCGGACUGGUGAGUAACACGUUAGUAACCUUCCCCCUUCUGCUGGAUAACGGCAUGAAGGUGCUGCUAAUACGGGAUAUUCUGGGUCUGUCGCAUGAUGGGUCUGGGAAGGUUAUUGUGUCGGUUGGAGAUGGGCUCGCGGUUUAUCAGCUUGUUGGUGGGGUGAUGGCCUACCAAGGCGAUGAUGAGUAGCCGACCUGAGAGGGUGGGCCGCCACAGAGCUGCGGCACCGUGCAGACGCCUACGGGAGGCAGCAGUAGUGAGUAUUACUGCAUAGUGGGCGGCAUGAUGAUGCAGCGACGCGGCGGGGGGGAUGGUCUCCGUCGCGUAGUGAACCUCUUUCGCGAGUGAAGAUGUCCUGCCUCGUCUGUGGGUGGGUUGACGGUAGCUGGACAAGAAGCGCCGGCUAACUACGUG
rnacentral:rRNA from 1 species